CACACCAGUGAUGCUUUGGCGA
rnacentral:siRNA from 1 species